rnacentral:rRNA from 1 species
GGACCCGCACAAGUAGUGGAGCAUGUGGUUUAAUUCGAAGAUACGCGCAGAACCUUACCAACACUUGACAUGUUCGUCGCGACUUUAAGAGAUUAAAGUUUUCGGUUCGGCCGGACGAAACACAGGUGCUGCAUGGCUGUCGUCAGCUCGUGUCGUGAGAUGUUGGUUAAGUCCCGCAACGAGCGCAACCCUCACUUUUAGUUGCCAUCAUUAAGUUGGGCACUCUGAAAGAACUGCCAGUGAUAAGCUGGAGGAAGGUGGGGAUGACGUCAAGUCCUCAUGGCCCUUACGUGUUGGGCUACACACGUGCUACAAUGGUAUCUACAACAGGAAGCAAGACUGCGAAGUUAAG